rnacentral:lncRNA from 1 species
CAUUUCCUCCAACAGCCUCAAGGGGAGCAGCCUCACCUGGUCCUCCUUGUCCCUUGCCCUGGACGGGGAAGAAAAGAGCGGGAAUGAGGAGCCUGCUCUAUUUUUACCAAGAGGUGCAGCUGGGUGUCCACACGGCUUGGACUUCGGCUCCCACCCCGUCAGAGAGGCCCCAGACCUAGAAGGCCGCACUGCCUGAGCCUCACCAGGCACUGGAGCAGGGGAAGCGGGUCUGGCAUCUCCUCUGGACCUGAGGCGGACAUAGGUGAGGCAGCCUGAGGUGGGAGACCUGCUCAGGUCUACCUCCCCUCCCUGCUGCCCAGAGGCCUCCCUGGCUCACCCCCCUGCCUGCCCACUGCAUCUCCCCAUGAACUCUAUUUCUCUUUCCUCUCUGAAAACAACUGAGCUGUAAAUACUGUUUAAC